AGGUCAGAGAAGACGAAUAUUGGAAGUGCAUCAUUAAGCGGGGAAUUAGUGAAUAAAUUGACUGGACUUGCAGCAAGUAAUUUAUGGAUUGUAUCUAGGGAAAUUACUUAUUUUUCAUUACAGCCUGUCACGGAGACCUGGAUUUUGGGAUGUAUGCAUGGGAUAAGGUUUUUUACUCAUCAUCAAUGCAAAAUCAUUUAAUCCCCAGUCGAUGGAUUUGAUAUGGACAUAUUGCAAUUAGCGGAGAGCGCGGAUAGAAACGGUGAGCUUAUGGUUCCACUUUCAGCUAUAAAUGCGACUUACAUUUCAUGCGUCCGCAGCUCGAGUUAAGGUU